UACGGGGGGGGGCAAGCGUUGUUCGGAAUUACUGGGCGUAAAGGGCUCGUAGGCGGCCAACUAAGUCAGACGUGAAAUCCCUCGGCUUAACCGGGGAACGGCGUCUGAUACUGGAUGGCUUGAAUCCGGGAGAGGGAUGCGGAAUUCCAGGUGUAGCGGUGAAAUGCGUAGAUAUCGGGAGGAACACCAAUGGCGAAGGCAGCUUGCUGGGACGGUACUGACGCUGAGGCGCGAAAGCGUGGGGAGCAAACAGG
rnacentral:rRNA from 1 species